GACGAACGCUGGCGGCGUGCCUAAUACAUGCAAGUUGAGCGAUGAAGCUUGGUGCUUGCACCAAUUUGAAGAGCAGCGAACGGGUGAGUAACGCGUGGGGAAUCUGCCUUUGAGCGGGGGAUAACAUUUGGAGACGAAUGCUAAUACCGCAUAACAACUUUAAACAUAAGUUUUAAGUUUGAAAGAUGCAAUUGCAUCACCCAAAGAUGAUCCCGCGUUGUAUUAGCUAGUUGGUGAGGUAAAGGCUCACCAAGGCGAUGAUACAUAGCCGAACUGAGAGGGGUGACGGCCCCAUUGGGACUGGGACACGGCCCAAAAUCCCACGGGAGGGAGCAGGAAGGAAACUUCGGGAAUGGACGAAAGGCUGACCGGGCAACGCCGCGGGGGUGAAGAAGGUUUUCGGAUCGUAAAACUCUGUUGGUAGGGAAGAACGUUGGGGGGAGUGGAAAGCUCAUCAAGUGACGGUAACUACCCAGAAAGGGACGGCUAACUACGUG
rnacentral:rRNA from 1 species